UAUAAGGAGGGAAGAUUGAAACGACCCGAUUAAUGUUUAUGAGCUUAAUUAUUAUAAUUGUCAUUAUCAUAUUAUAUUAUAUAAAGGUGAUUAUGCAAGGAAGGGGGAGGAAAAAAAAACGUGGUCUGAUUGAAAAGGGGGUGGGGUCACGUAACGCACCUUUUGUUUCUUGAAAAUAAGAUACCCUAAUUGUUUAAAGAAAAACCAUUGAACCCACUCCCAAUAUUUCUUUCCCAGCCGUAACCUCCCUUUCUUCUUUCUCGACAUAUUCCCCUCCUUACUUCUCCCACAGAACUUCUUCAAUUUCUUCUUUUACUCUUGUUCCAAAGGAAAACAACCCCAAUUCCCCUUUAAUAUAUAUCCAUUCACGAACAAGGUUGACGGGGUUUCAAAUGGAACAAACCUGGUUUAAUUGUUUGGAGUAGGAGGGUGCUUUGAAGGAGAAGUAAAUUCAGCCCUUUAGCAUUGUCCAAUUCAAUUUAUUUAAGAUUUGACGGGUGAAGGUUUGUUGGGUUGUCGCGAAAUUGCUGAGGACGGUCCAGUUGGCUCGUUAUAGCUAUUCUUCAGCAGCUGAGUAGCAAGCUGUUCUUGGAUUCCGAUUGUCAGUUGUCUUGCUGGUAGGCCUCCAUCGGCUGGUGGCCUCAUUGCUAUGUUAUUUCUUUGAUUCUAGUUAUCUGCAGCUAUAGGGAGUCAUAGGUGAAUUUAGUUUGGGGUUGACGGUAUCUUCUUAAUUUUAAAGGUUGACGUUGAGCGUCGAAUUUUGGUUUUGUACCUUUUCUUGAAAUUUGGAUUUGGAGAAUAUUAUUUAGCAAGUUAUGUUAUUUUGAGAUUACUGAAAUACAAAGGAUACCCUGUUUUUUUUUAUAAAUU